rnacentral:rRNA from 1 species
GACGAACGCUGGCGGCGUGCUUAACACAUGCAAGUCGAACGGAAAGGCCCUGCUUUUGUGGGGUGCUCGAGUGGCGAACGGGUGAGUAACACGUGAGUAACCUGCCCUUGACUUUGGGAUAACUUCAGGAAACUGGGGCUAAUACCGGAUAGGAGCUCCUGCUGCAUGGUGGGGGUUGGAAAGUUUCGGCGGUUGGGGAUGGACUCGCGGCUUAUCAGCUUGUUGGUGGGGUAGUGGCUUACCAAGGCUUUGACGGGUAGCCGGCCUGAGAGGGUGACCGGCCACAUUGGGACUGAGAUACGGCCCAGACUCCUACGGGAGGCAGCAGUGGGGAAUAUUGCACAAUGGGCGGAAGCCUGAUGCAGCAACGCCGCGUGCGGGAUGACGGCCUUCGGGUUGUAAACCGCUUUCGCCUGUGACGAAGCGUGAGUGACGGUAAUGGGUAAAGAAGCACCGGCUAACUACGUGCCAGCAGCCGCGGUGAUACGUAGGGUGCGAGCGUUGUCCGGAUUUAUUGGGCGUAAAGGGCUCGUAGGUGGUUGAUCGCGUCGGAAGUGUAAUCUUGGGGCUUAACCCUGAGCGUGCUUUCGAUACGGGUUGACUUGAGGAAGGUAGGGGAGAAUGGAAUUCCUGGUGGAGCGGUGGAAUGCGCAGAUAUCAGGAGGAACACCAGUGGCGAAGGCGGUUCUCUGGGCCUUUCCUGACGCUGAGGAGCGAAAGCGUGGGGAGCGAACAGGCUUAGAUACCCUGGUAGUCCACGCUGUAAACGGUGGGUACUAGGUGUGGGGUCCAUUCCACGGGUUCCGUGCCGUAGCUAACGCUUUAAGUACCCCGCCUGGGGAGUACGGCCGCAAGGCUAAAACUCAAAGGAAUUGACGGGGCCCCGCACAAGCGGCGGAGCAUGCGGAUUAAUUCGAUGCAACGCGUAGAACCUUACCUGGGUUUGACAUGGAUCGGGAGUGCUCAGAGAUGGGUGUGCCUCUUUUGGGGUCGGUUCACAGGUGGUGCAUGGCUGUCGCCAGCUCGUGUCGUGAGAUGUUGGGUUAAGUCCCGCAACGAGCGCAACCCUUGUUCACUGUUGCCAGCACGUUAUGGUGGGGACUCAGUGGAGACCGCCGGGGUCAACUCGGAGGAAGGUGGGGAUGACGUCAAGUCAUCAUGCCCCUUAUGUCCAGGGCUUCACGCAUGCUACAAUGGCUGGUACAGAGAGUGGCGAGCCUGCGAGGGUGAGCGAAUCUCGGAAAGCCGGUCUCAGUUCGGAUUGGGGUCUGCAACUCGACCUCAUGAAGUCGGAGUCGCUAGUAAUCGCAGAUCAGCAACGCUGCGGUGAAAACGUUCCCGGGGCU